rnacentral:rRNA from 1 species
UACGUAGGUGGCAAGCGUUAUCCGGAUUUACUGGGUGUAAAGGGCGUGUAGGCGGGAAAGCAAGUCAGGCGUGAAAAUUAUGGGCUCAACCCAUAACUUGCGUUUGAAACUGUUUUUCUUGAGUACUGGAGAGGCAGAUGGAAUUCCUAGUGUAGCGGUGAAAUGCGUAGAUAUUAGGAGGAACACCAGUGGCGAAGGCGAUCUGCUGGACAGCAACUGACGCUGAGGCGCGAAAGCGUGGGGAGCAAACAGGAUUAGAUACCCG